GAAUCUCAGCUGGCUAAACAGCCCAACCCUCUGAGGGCACAUGCCUGGUCCCUCUGCCCCACUGCAUCCCACAGGCUCACCAUGCCAAAGUCCAAGGAGGGACAGCAUUCCCCCCCCGGCUCUCCUCCUAGGAGGGACAUGGUGCAGCCAGAGGACCAGGGCCUGGGGGAGGCUGAGGGAUGGUCCUGCACAGCCGUGUAAAAGCAACCAUCAGUCCACCACCCUGACAAACCUUCCAGCAAAAGGAGGUCCUGCUUGGUCUGAGGAUGGGCCAAGAGUUCCUUCUUCCCAAGUGAUGAAAACACCAGCCCUGCAUGUGACCCACAAAAGAAGAGACAGGCCAUCAAACUUAUGUCCCUGCCCUCUCUCACAGC